rnacentral:snoRNA from 1 species
UCUGCCCCUAGAAGCAAGCUGUGGCACACUUGCAUCAGUAGGUGGUACAGAGGAGAGGCUAUGUCUAUGCUCUGACCUAUGAACAACCUAUGAUUAGUAGUGAAACAUU